GUCUCUAUAACUGAUGUCUUCAGAAUUUCCCCUCCUUGGAUAGUCUGUAUUCAAUCCCAGGUAUUUGCUCUUGAACUCUUCAUGAGUGAGGUCUGCAAAUUCAUUCAAUCCCAGCCAGUAGGUAGUAACUUCCCUGUUUCUAUGAUCAAUGUGCUUCGAGUUAUCUUUGAAGAACUCAAACAGAUGUAGCUUCUCUUCAGUGAAUUUGUAGAUUUUGCCAUGUUUAGACAUCCAUGAUUCGAAUAGUUCAUUGAGUUUAUCAAUGGAAGUCAGGUGCUCUGGCGAG
rnacentral:misc_RNA from 1 species